rnacentral:rRNA from 1 species
GAUGAACGCUAGCGGGAGGCCUAACACAUGCAAGCCGAGCGGUAUUAUUUCUUCGGAAAUGAGAGAGCGGCGUACGGGUGCGGAACACGUGUGCAACCUGCCUUUAUCUGGGGGAUAGCCUUUCGAAAGGAAGAUUAAUACUCCAUAAUAUAUUGGACGGCAUCGUUUAAUAUUGAAAGCUCCGGCGGAUAGAGAUGGGCACGCGCAAGAUUAGCUAGUUGGUGAGGUAACGGCUCACCAAGGCGAUGAUCUUUAGGGGGCCUGAGAGGGUGAUCCCCCACACUGGUACUGAGACACGGACCAGACUCCUACGGGAGGCAGCAGUGAGGAAUAUUGGUCAAUGGGUGCAAGCCUGAACCAGCCAUCCCGCGUGAAGGACGACUGCCCUAUGGGUUGUAAACUUCUUUUGUAUAGGGAUAAACCUACUCUCGUGAGGGUAGCUGAAGGUACUAUACGAU